rnacentral:tRNA from 1 species
AGGGGUGUAGUUCAAUGGUAGAACUUCGGUCUUCAAAACCGAUUGUUGUGGGUUCGAGUCCUGCCACCCCUGCCA